ensembl:snoRNA
ACGCUGCCUUUGAGCCCUUGCUGCACCUGCACCUGGUGCCUGUAGGAUGGGGCAGUGGUGGGGGUGUGGGGUGCUAUGGCCCCAGAGCAUGAGCUUGUGCUUAACUGGGGCUGCCUCCACACCCAUCCCCUGCUGGGGGCCCUUUUUACCAAAGGCUACAAGG